rnacentral:rRNA from 1 species
AACGAACGCUGGCGGCAUGCCUAACACAUGCAAGUCGAACGAGACCUUCGGGUCUAGUGGCGCACGGGUGCGUAACGCGUGGGAACCUGCCCUUAGGUUCGGAAUAACUCCCCGAAAGGGGUGCUAAUACCGGAUAAUUUCUUCGGACCAAAGAUUUAUCGCCUUUGGAUGGGCCCGCGUUGGAUUAGCUAGUCGGUAGGGUAAAAGCCUACCAAGGCGACGAUCCAUAGCUGGUCUGAGAGGAUGAUCAGCCACACUGGGACUGAGACACGGCCCAGACUCCUACGGGAGGCAGCAGUGGGGGAUAUUGGACAAUGGGCGAAAGCCUGAUCCAGCAAUGCCGCGUAAGUGAUGAAGGCCUUAGGGUUGUAAAGCUCUUUUACCCGGGAUGAUAAUGACGGUACCGGGAGAAUAAGCUCCGGCUAACUCCGUG